CAUAUAAAUGUAUUGAGACUCGACAAAUCGAGUCGUCCUUACUCUUAUUAUGCUAAUUUGAGCAUCUGACAGCCGAGUAAUAAAAGUCCGUGCAAUUUAACGGUCUCUUUUACCUUGAAAACCGAACAGAGUGGACGUUAAAAAAUUAAGACCCAUCCUCUCCCACCCUUAAGAAUUGAACUUUGUUUGCUGCUGGUUUUAUUUAUUUUUUAGAUGCUCCAGUCUUCAUACAAAUAUCCGUCAUGGUAACAUGCUGAAGCAGUCACACAACCG
rnacentral:lncRNA from 1 species